rnacentral:rRNA from 1 species
AUUGAACGCUGGCGGCAGGCCUAACACAUGCAAGUCGAGCGGAUGAAGGGAGCUUUCUCCUGGAUUCAGCUGCGGACUGGUGAGUAAUGCCUAGGAAUCUGCCUGGUAGUGGGGGAUAACGUCCGUAAACGGGCGCUAAUACCGCAUACGGCCUGAGGGAGAAAGUGGGGGAUCUUCGGACCUCACGCUAUCAGAUGAGCCUAGGUCGGAUUAGCUAGUUGGUGGGGGAAAGGCCUACCAAGGCGACGAUCCGUAACUGGUCUGAGAGGAGGAUCAGUCAGAUUGGAACUGAGACACGGUCCAGACUCCUACGGGAGGCAGCAGUGGGGAAUAUUGGAGAAUGGGCGAAAGCCUGAUACAGCAAUGCCGGGUGUGUGAAGAAGGUCUUCGGAUUGUAAAGCAAUUUAAGUUGGGAGGAAGGGCAGUAAGUUAAUACCUUGCUGUUUUGACGUUACCCACAGAAUAAGCACCGGCUAACUUCGUG